UGUCAAAUACUUGUUCUCCCCACUGUAUUUGUUUGCCUGUAUGAAAAAUGUACACAUUUACAGCUUUGUUUCUGCUAGCUUGCAGGAAUUGUAACUUACAUAAAUGUUUGAAGACAACUUAAGACGCAGAUAAAUUGUUGCAGAGAGGAUCACACCUGUCGUCAACAAACAAAGGUUUAAGAACUAUUGAAUUUUCAGUCAGAAAUGAUCACACCGCCUGGUUGAAGUCUCCAUAUGCAAGUCAACAAAGCAGAGAGGAAACACCCAACUGACAACAUGUGAGUCUCAAUUUCAACCUGUGACUGGGAAGACUACAACCAUCCUGAGCAAAGUCUGAACUCAGUGACUUGUGACUCUCAACUCAGAACAAGAAUCCUUUUAUCACCGGUUUUUCUCCUACAAUAGGUUAUCUCUUAUGUGGACACAUGCUGUUUUUUUUUUGUUUGUUUUGUUUUCCCAGCUCUCAGUAAUACCAUGAGGAAACUGGAAAGAAAAUAGAAUUGUUUUUUUUUUUUACUAAAUUUUUAAAUAGAAAUUCUUUCUUUAAGUGGAUUAUUCAUAAUCUGUAUUUUUGUUUAAUUUGAAUUUAUUUUCUUUAUAACUUUCUGUAUAGAAAUGCUGACAAGUUACACUUCCUUGUGUGUUGUACUAUACUUUUUAUGGAACAAUUCUGGUAAGAACAGUGACCAGUAAUUCACCAUAAGGUUUUUGGGGGGGAGGAUUUACAA